rnacentral:rRNA from 1 species
AUUGAACGCUGGCGGCAGGCCUAACACAUGCAAGUCGAACGAGUGGCGGACGGGUGAGUAAUGUCUGGGAAACUGCCUGAUGGAGGGGGAUAACUACUGGAAACGGUAGCUAAUACCGCAUACCAUCGGAUGUGCCCAGAUGGGAUGAGCUUGUUGGUGGGGUAACGGCUCACCAGGGCGACGAUCCCUAGCUGGUCUGAGAGGAUGACCAGCCAAACUGGAACGGAGACACGGUCCAGACUCCAACGGGAGGAAGCAGUGGGGAAUAGUGCACAAGGGGCGCAAGCCUGAUGCAGCCAUGCCGCGUGGAUGAAGAAGGCCUUCGGGUUGUAAAGUACUUUCAGCGGGGAGGCGUUACCCGCAGAAGAAGCACCGGCUAACUCCGUGCCAGCAGCCGCGGUAAUAC